rnacentral:ncRNA from 1 species
GCAGAGUAGGAAUACCGGCGCCAAGUGCCGGGCGGACAGGGAGUUGCCGCCCGGACGAAGAGCCAGGGAGGAAGAAUCUCCGCCCCGGGGCUCGCGGUCGAUAUUCCGCAUCCCGCUGC